rnacentral:rRNA from 1 species
GAUGAACGCUGGCGGCGUGCCUAAUACAUGCAAGUCGAGCGAACAGACGAGGAGCUUGCUCCUCUGACGUUAGCGGCGGACGGGUGAGUAACACGUGGAUAACCUACCUAUAUGACGGGGAUAACCUCGGGAAACGGGAGCUAAUACCGGAUAAUAUAUUGCACCGCAGGGUUCAAUAGUGAAAGACGGUUUUGCUGUCUCUUAUAGAUGGAUCUGCGCCGCUUUAGCUAGUUGGUAAGGUCACGGCUUACCAAGGCAACGAGGCGUAGCCGACCUGAGAGGGUGGUCGGCCACCCGGGAGCGGGAACGCGGACCAGACGACUACGGGAGGCAGCAGUAGGGAAUCUUCCGCAGUAGGCGAAAGCUUGACGGAGCAACGCCGCGUGAGUGAUGAAGGUGUUGGGAGCGGAAUACUGUGUUAUGAGGGAAGAACAAAUGUGUAAGGAACUAUGCACUGCUUGACGGUACCUAAUCAGAAAGCCACGGCUAACUACGUG